UUUAACACACAAAACUGGUUUUCAUAAUGGUUUGAGAUUGUGUUAGAUUCUGAGAUCAUUGUGAAAACUGAUUUUGUAAC
rnacentral:pre_miRNA from 1 species